AUGGCUAUAUCACAUUGAAAACACCUGUUCUUGUCUGAUCACUGAAGUUAAGCAGCAUUGUGUCUCAUUGGUACUUAGGUGGGAGAUGGCUGAAGAAUACAAAGUGCCA